rfam:Gossypium raimondii Chr01_contig_413, whole genome shotgun sequence.
AUUAGGAGAAUGACAAAUCAGAUUUCCUCCUGAUUUUCAGCCUUUUCCUCAUGAAAAAAAUUCAAAUUCAACUAAAAAUAUUAAAAAUCAGGAGGAAAAAUCUAAUUUGUCAUUCUCUUUUU